GAUGAACGCUGGCGGCGUGCUUAACACAUGCAAGUCGAACGGUAAGGCCCUUCGGGGUACACGAGUGGCGAACGGGUGAGUAACACGUGGGUGAUCUGCCCUGCACUUCGGGAUAAGCCUGGGAAACUGGGUCUAAUACCGAAUAGGACUCCGGACUGCAUGGUCUGGGGUGGAAAGCUUUUGCGGUGUGGGAUGGGCCCGCGGCCUAUCAGCUUGUUGGUGGGGUGAUGGCCUACCAAGGCGACGACGGGUAGCCGGCCUGAGAGGGUGACCGGCCACACUGGGACUGAGAUACGGCCCAGACUCCUACGGGAGGCAGCAGUGGGGAAUAUUGCACAAUGGGCGCAAGCCUGAUGCAGCGACGCCGCGUGAGGGAUGACGGCCUUCGGGUUGUAAACCUCUUUCAGCAUCGACGAAGCGAAAGUGACGGUAGGUGCAGAAGAAGGACCGGCCAACUACGUGCCAGCAGCCGCAGUAA
rnacentral:rRNA from 1 species